UUUUGCAAAAGGCAAAUCUAUCGAAAGGUAGAGACGCAAAGCCACGAGUCUAAGGUGGAGACACUAUGACAGUCGGGUUGCCAAA
rnacentral:ncRNA from 1 species